rnacentral:rRNA from 1 species
GACGUAGGGCGCAAGCGUUGUCCGGAUUUAUUGGGCGUAAAGAGCUCGUAGGCGGCUCAUUGCGUCGUGCGUGAAAACCAGCGGCUCAACUGCUGGCUUGCGCACGAUACGGGUGGGCUGGAGUUCGGUAGGGGAGACUGGAAUUCCUGGUGUAGCGGUGAAAUGCGCAGAUAUCAGGAGGAACACCGGUGGCGAAGGCGGGUCUCUGGGCCGAUACUGACGCUGAGGAGCGAAAGCGUGGGGAGCGAACAGG